AGAAGGGCAUUUGGUGGAUGCCUUGGCGCAUAGAGGCGAUGAAGGACGUGUUAGGCUGCGAAAAGCCUGGGGGAGCUGCCAAAAAGCUUUGAUCCCGGGAUGUCCGAAUGGGGCAACCCACCCGCAAGGGUAUCGGCACCUGAAUACAUAGGGUGUCGAGGCGAACCAGGGGAAUUGAAACAUCUCAGUACCCUGAGGAAAGGAAAUCAACAGAGACUCCCUUAGUAGUGGCGAGCGAACGGGGACCAGGCCAGUGUUCAGUAGCGAUCAACCGGAAGCGUUUGGAAAGGCGCACCUUAGGGGGUGAUAGUCCCGUACGGGUACAGGUUGCUAUUGGGCCUUGAGUAAGGCGGGGCACGUGAAACCCUGUCUGAAUCAAGCGGGACCAUCCGCUAAGGCUAAAUACUCCUGAGAGACCGAUAGUGAACAAGUACCGUGAGGGAAAGGUGAAAAGCACCCCGAUUAGGGGAGUGAAACAGUACCUGAAACCGG
rnacentral:rRNA from 1 species